GGGCAUCAUUCCAUCAUCAGCAGAUGGGCAGCAGGCUCCCACGCAGGCUAUAUAGCAGGGAGAGCUGCUCUGUGCCCCAGCCUGGCUCUGCUCCUGGUGAUGGUAUUGAAGAGCUGUGCUUUCAGGCUGCAGCACGAGUGUUUAAUGGUGGGGCUGCCGGGAAGAGCGGGCUGGCUGGGGAGAACACAGCUGGUUACUGUUCCAAGGCCACGGCGGGGCUGGCUGCGGGGCCCCUGGGAGCCUUCCUGGCUUCUCACAGUUAGUCAUUUUAUGGCGUCCGAAGCGCUUGGAUUACUGUAACCAUAUGGUCUUUGUUUGGAGCGCCUCGCACCCAACCUGCGGCCGGGGACCGAGGCUGAGAGCUGCUCAGGGGGGUUGCAUAGGAGCUGGCCUCACGGGGUGCCCGUAGAGCACCACGCUGCCUCCUCCUCUGCAUCUGGGAUGGGAUUUGCCUUUGUGAUCCCUGUGGGCUCGGGGGUGAUUUAUGGACACCAUGCUGCACGGUGCCUGCCAAUCACCCUGCUUGCUCCAGCAGCGUUGGGCAAUCUCUGCUUCCUAUGAAAUCAGGCUCACAAAGCAAAAACUUGGCAGCAGACGAGGCUCACAGCAGUGGGGCUGCAUCCCCUGACCCACAGCUGGCAGGAUGCGGGCUGCCCCCCGCCCCAAAACUGCAACUGCGGUCUCUUUCCUAUGUUGCUGCUUCGCUUUGGGAAUGCAGAAAUAGAUUCAAAGCACCGAAGAGCACUCAAACCACCGCAGAGAAACCGGUCAUGAGGGCUGCAUGGAGGGCACAGUGCAGGGAGAUGCUGCUGACGGCCUCAGUCCCCCAAACUGCUGCGGUGUAGGGUGAGCAACAGGGAUGCUGGAGCAGGAGGAAUAGACACCUGCUCCCUCACAGUGAGUCAAGAAAUGCCAUUUUGCUCUGCACCUGGAUGGAGCGGUGCUGCAGGGAGGUAGCACACCGCCUGGAGUGAUGCCAUUAGGGUAUGAGCCCUCCGAUGAGGACACGGAGGUGCUCCUCCCUGCAUCCCACAGAGUCCCUGGGUCACGCUCAUCCUUAGCCCUACCCCAGGCGCGUGGGGCCGGGCUGGGUGGAGGGCACAGCGCUCAGCCACAGCCCUGCCUUGCACGAGGCAAUUCCACAGCACUCAGACCUCAACUGCUGCCCUCAGCAUGGCACGUGGCACCUCAAUAACCUGCUCUUAAUGAGAAAAAAGGCAGUGAUGGGCAUUGAACCCUGCACUGGACGGAGCCCCUCUGUCCACUGCUCCCAGCUUGUGCCAUCUCCCUGCGGGCACGCACACCUCUCCGCCCCCCCCCCAUCCAUCCAUCCAUCCAUCCCUCUGACACUGACACAUGGCAGCUGUCCCCCUGCGGGUUGGUCAGUGGGAGAGGAGCGGAUUCGUGCACAUCGGAAGAGCCGUAAAUCACAGCAAUGGGUUCCUCAGAAGGGCUUCCAGCCAGAGCCGUAACCACAGCGUGCGGGGCCAACAUCCGCACGGCUCCGCGGCCAUCCGGCGCGGGACAGCGGCGCUCACAUCCAGCUAGCACUCAACAGCUGAUAACUCUAUUCCUCCCCCCUCCCUCCUUUUUUCUUCCAAGAGUUGAGCUAUUCUUCAACCUACAAAGCUCCAAAGGGCCCCCGGCCAGCAGCCUAAAUCCUGAGCUGUAGGUUUGGUCGAUGCUUGCAAUACGAAUGCAGGGGUGUUUGCAUUGCUCCCGUACCCCUUUCCCAGCAAACAGAGGGUUCGGUAGGUCUGGAAAAACCCUAUUAUACCUACAGGGCAGCACGGUUCCUCCUUCUUGGGGAAAAAGGUAAAAAAAUAAGAAGCAAAAAAGAGCUCGCUGUGCACAAUUGACAUUUUUUAAGCCGUAGUCAUCCCCCUCUGUUCCUCCCAGUGUUUUCCCACCAGCGGGGUGAGGAAAUCGCCUUUUACAUCAUGUUGGCUGUCAACCCUAGCGAGAGAUGCUGGGCUGGAGACAAAAGAGCUGGAAGGGGUCUUCUGAGCUCACCUCAGCCCCAGGGCAGGAGGAGUCGUUUCAUAAGCAGCUUUCAUAAGCAGCUUGGUCUGAAGGAAAUGGCAUGGAAAAAAAGUGGUGGAUGCCACGGCCGUGAGCUUUGCGCCGGGGAGGAGCCGCUGCCCUGCAAACCCUGUGGGGCUGCUGGGGGAUUGCAGCCAUUCUGAGAAGGAUAGAGAAGAUGUGGUAGAAGGAGGAAGGGGGGGGGGGAUGGUUAAACUGGGUGGGAUCUCACCCGCGCACAGCUUCUGAUCCCUGGUGGGGUCUCCCCAUCCACGCUGCUGCACUGUGCGCCCUUGGCAUGCUUGCGCUCUCAGCUCCGUGCUGCUUUUGGAAAGCAGGAUGCUUGCUCGGAUGCUCGCCCAGAGCUGGAUUUGGAACCCCCCCCCCCUCCCCUCUCCAUGCACGCUGCAGUGAGCAGCUGGCUCAUUGCACGCAGCAUCAUCACCAUCUCUGCCGGCAGCCGGACCACCGCUGGCGCAGGUGAGCUGCUGGCUGCAGAGCAAGCGGGAGCCGCUCCCCCCUCCUCCACCCCUCCCCGCAGAGCUCUUGGACAAAUAAAGUGCGGAAAAAAUCUGAGCUGGAGCUGCUGACUCCUUGUGCAAGCAAGUUUAAAAUAGGCCACACUGUUCCAGCCCGGCGGCAGCCAGCUGGCCCUGCAGCCGCCCCGCUGCAAAACAAGCGGCAGCGGGAGCCCCGGCACCGCAGCACGGGGACGUGACCCGGAUGGCAGCAGCUGGGACAGCACGGUGACACUCUUGGCCAUGCAGGUGGGAUGUCACCAGGGGUGAAAGGUGCCCAGCCGGGCGGGGGGCACGCAGGGAGCAUCCCCUGCAAUAGCAUCGCCGCAGCUGUGCCCCUCCUCUGCGCCCUUGGGGACACCCAACCGAUGCUCCUAUUGUAUUUAUUUCUUGUUUUGGGUUUUUUUUCUUGGUAAUCAUACAAAGCCUGGAAGCGGGCCCCAGGUGGGCUGGAGAGCGAGGUGCCGUGGGGCAGCAAUGUGUCCCCCGGGGCCGCCCGGUGCCGUCAGCCCCACGCUGCCUUUCCCGUGCUCUGCGGUCCUUUGGGGACAGGAAGCUCUGCAUUGUAAGGCGGCCUUCCAGGAUUUCCUGCAGCAGAGCAGGAUGCGGCUGCGCACCGGUUCCAGGGAAACCUGCAGCCCUCGGGGAUGUUGGGGACACCCCCCUGCUGCUCCUGCCCAAGUCAACCCCAUGGCAAUGUCCAGUGCUUGGGGCAGUUCCUAUGGCACUAAUGGGGGGCAUCGGUCCCUGCUGCUCGCCCUCACCCAGCAUCACUCAUCCCAUGUUGGACCAAAUGCGUGGUGCAAAGGAGGCACUGGGAUCCCAUGGGUGAUGUGCAGCGACUCCCAGGGGAGCAGGGGUGUCACCCUGCCUGCUCUUCCUUCCAAUGUCUUUAGGGAAAGAAGGAGAACAACAGCCAUCCCUCACUGGGGGCCAAACUGGGGCCAUCUGCUCAGCGUCAGCCCAGGGCCGGGGCAUCACCUCAACCCAGAGGGGUGCGUUGUUCCCCACGGCUGCUGCUGCUCACCCUCUGCCCCCACAGCGGCCACAGCACGGAGGUGUCGGCCCGUGGUGAGGAUUAAUGGCUGCGUGCUGCUCGCCUCCGAGAGCUCUGCACCUUGGCUGGGGGGAGGAGGAGGAGGAUUUGGCAGCUGGAAGAGCUGGGAUUAGAGGAGAUUUGCUGGAUCUCAAGGAGAGAGGUGCCAAGUUCUCUUUGCUGGGGGACCCCGGAGGACGCUGCGUGUCCCUGUCAGCUGGCUGCAGCUCUCGGGUACCAACUUUGGGUGUCAGUGCUGCAGGGCAAUGGCACGCACAGCGGGAGCGCGGCUCCGCCAGCAAUAAACAGCGCUCAGCGCUCAGCGGGGCCGCGUCGGGAGGAGCUGCUCUGCCAGUAAGCACCGUAUUUCCCUAUUUAUAAACACAGCACCGCAUUGAGUGUGGGGCCCUGACUCUGCAGGAGCUGCUGCAAUUGUCUCUCUGCUUUGCGCUGGCAAAAAGCGUCGCGGCGCGCGGGGAUGUUUGUGGAUGGGCUGCGAGGUUUCCUGCAUCCUCCAGCUCUGAGGAUGGUCCCCGUCUCCCAGAGGUGCGUGGAGCAUCAGAUGGGCUUCGGCUUGGUUUGAGAUAAGGAAUCCCUCCGUGAUGUCGCUGGGGUUGCUGGGUGUCCGUGUGCAAUGCAGCAAAUGCGGCGGGGGC
rnacentral:lncRNA from 1 species